UGGCAUAUACCAUCACACCUGGAUCAAAAUAUUAUUUUUAGUCAUCAGCAUAUAGUGCUUUAGAAAACCACCUACUGGGUACCAUCCUGAUUGGAGUGCAAAGAAAUGUUUAAGCUUGUUCUCAGGAAGUAACCCAGGCCACACUGACCCCCAGGCCUCUGGUCUCUGGCACCUGUGAUUCCUGCAAGCAAGUCACUUGCCUUAUGCUGCUUUGUGUAACUAGAAAGGAAAUGCUUCACUGACAGAACUGGAAUCUCAUCAGCUUUUCUGUUUCUCAGACUCCUGCAAAUACCAGCCCAGCCACUCUUUCAGAUCCACUUCAAGGAAACAUAGGUUUGAAAACUGUCCCCCACGGUUUUGUGUGAGCUGGCUGCCUUUCUGCAGCACACACUGGGUCGGAUUGCUGGAGUCAGGAACCGAGAG